rnacentral:tRNA from 1 species
UGUAAAAUAAGCUAAGUAAUAAGCUUUUGGGUUCAUACCCCAAAUAUGAAUAUUUAUUCUUUUACAA